ensembl:misc_RNA Metazoa_SRP Metazoan signal recognition particle RNA
GCCAGGCAUGGUGGCUCAUGCCUGUAAUCCCAGCAUUUUGGGAGGCCGAGGCAGGUGGAUCACCUGAGGUCAGGAGUUUGAGACCAACCUGGCCAACAUGGUGAAAUCCUGUCUCUA